UGAACGCUGGCGGUGCGUUUAAUACAUGCAAGUCGAACGAGAUUGUUUUCAAGUUUACUUUUAGACAUGACAGUGGCGGACGAGCGAGUAACACGUAAGCAGUUGCCUUGUACUCAGGGAUAACUAGUCGAAAGAUUAGCUAAUACCGGAUGGUCCCGAAAGGGUAAAGAUUUAUCGGUACAAGAGACGCUUGCGGCCUAUCAGCUAGUUGGUGAGGUAAAGGCUUACCAAGGCGAUGACGGGUAUCUGGUGUGAGAGCACGACCAGACGCGAUGGGACUGAGACACGGCCCAUACUCCUACGGGAGGCAGCAGUAGAGAAUCUUCCGCAAUGGACGAAAGUCUGACGGAGCGACACCGCGUGGUGGAUGACACCCUUAGGGGCGUAAACACCUUUUAUGAGGGAAGAAAUUCUGACGGUACCUCAUGAAUAAGGACCGGCUAAUUACGUGCCAGCAGCCGCGGUAAUACGUAAGGUCCAAGCGUUAUCCGGAAUAAUUGGGCGUAAAGCGUCCGCAGGUGGUUGGAUAAGUCUGUUAUUAAAUACCGAAGCUCAACUUCGGUGCUGUAGUGGAAACUAUUCAACUAGAGGAUGGUAGAGGUGUGUGGAAUUCUGCAAGUAGGGGUAAAAUCCGUAGAUAUGCAGAGGAAUACCAAAAGCGAAGGCAGCACACUGGACCACUCCUGACACUCAGGGACGAAAGCGUGGGGAGCAAAAGGGAUUAGAUACCCCUGUAGUCCACGCCGUAAACGAUGCAUGCUCGAUGUUGGGACCCUCGACUUGGUCUCAGUGUCUUAGGUAACCCGUUAAGCAUGCCGCCUGUGUAGUACGAUCGCAAGAUUAAAACACAAAGGAAUAGACGGGGACCCACACAAGCGGUGGAACGCGGGGUUUAAUUCGUUAAUCAGCGAGUAACCUCACCCAGACUUGACAUCCCUAUCGUACCUUUUGGAAACAAUUGGGUCGGUUCGGCCGGAUAGGUGACAGGUGUUGCAUGGUUGUCGUCAGCUCGUGCCUUGAGGUGUUCGGUUAAGUCCGUGAACGAGCGCAACCCUCGUCCUAUGUUGUAUUUUCAUGCGAGACUGCCCUGUAUAACGGGGAGGAAGGUGAGGAUGACGUCAAAUCAGCAUGACCCUUAUGUCUGGGGCUACACCCGCGUUACAAUGGCAGAUACAAACUGAGGCGAAGCAGUAAUGUGGAGCAAAUCGGAGAAAAUCUGUCUUAGUUCGGAUUGAGGUCUGCAACUCGACCUCAUGAAGCGGGAAGCGCGAGGAACCGUAGAGCAGUCAGGUUACGGUGAAUAUGUGCCUGGGUCUGGUACUCACCGCCCGUCAAGGCAUGGAAGUCAGGGGCGCCCGAAGUCUGCUU
rnacentral:rRNA from 1 species